GAUAACAGGAUCCAGUAGGGGAUCCUAUUUUUCAUUUGCCUUUUGCUGCUAUCUAACCAUUAGAGGAAUGGUCUGUAGUUCACCAAUCAAGAUGUUUUCCUUACAGAGUAUAAUUUUUUUCAAAGCCCAGAAUUUGACAAGUAUUGGAGAAGCAAUAUAAAAGAGGAGAUACCGAGAAGAAGGAGACUGCACAGAGACACCUUUGCGGAAAAAAUGGUACAAUGGUACUUGGCUGGAGAGUCAGAUGAGGACACUAGGAGCCCAAGAGAAGAAGCCACAUUUGCUGAACAACUAAAUGAGGACCCUCCUCUUCCAUGUCCUUUUCCCUUCCACCUUCUCUAGAAGACUCUACCUGUUUUAAAUUAUCAGCCAGAAACACAACGUACACACAGCAGAAGCCCAGCUGGGUGACUAUAAGGAAGAAGCUCACGAUAUGCCUGGAAGAGAAGGGAGAGAGAGAAAACACAUUAUAAAAGACGAGUUGAUUUGUCAA